rnacentral:rRNA from 1 species
AGCAGCCGCGGUAAUUCCAGCUCCAAUAGCGUAUAUUAAAGUUGUUGCAGUUAAAAAGCUCGUAGUUGAAUUUCGGGGUCAAUAGGUUGGUCGUGCCACUGGUAUGCACUGGUCUCACUGAUUCCUCCUUCCUGAUGAACCGUAAUGCCAUUAAUUUGGUGUUGCGGGGAAUCUGGACUGUUACUUUGAAAAAAUUAGAGUGUUUAAAGCAGGCUAACGCUUGAAUACAUUAGCAUGGAAUAAUGAAAUAGGACGAUCGAUCCUAUUUUGUUGGUUUCUAGGAUUGACGUAAUGAUUAAUAGGGAUAGUUGGGGGCAUUAGUAUUCAAUUGUCAGAGGUGAAAUUCUCGGAUUUAUUGAAGACUAACUACUGCGAAAGCAUUUGCCAAGGAUGUUUUCUAUUAAUCAAGAACGAAAGUUAGGGGAUCGAAGACGAUCAGAUACCGUCGUAGUCUUAUCCAUAAACUAUGCCGACUAGGGAUCGGAUGAUGUUAAUUUUUAAUGACUCAUUC